rnacentral:rRNA from 1 species
GACGAACGCUGGCGGCGUGCUUAACACAUGCAAGUCGAACGGUAAGGCCCUUCGGGGUACACGAGUGGCGAACGGGUGAGUAACACGUGGGUGAUCUGCCCUGCACUUCGGGAUAAGCCUGGGAAACUGGGUCUAAUACCGGAUAGGACUCCUGGCUUCAUGGUUGGGGGUGGAAAGCUUUUGCGGUGUGGGAUGGGACCGCGGCCUAUCAGCUUGUUGGUGGGGUAAUGGCCUACCAAGGCGACGACGGGUAGCCGGCCUGAGAGGGUGACCGGUCGCACUGGGACUGAGAUACGGCCCAGACUCCUACGGGAGGCAGCAGUGGGGAAUAUUGCACAAUGGGCGCAAGCCUGAUGCAGCGACGCCGCGUGAGGGAUGACGGCCUUCGGGUUGUAAACCUCUUUCAGCUAUGACGAAGCGCAAGUGACGGUAGUAGCAGAAGAAGGACCGGCCAACUACGUGCCAGCAGCCGCAGUAAAAC